GACGGAGGGUGCAAACGUUGCUCGGAAUCAUUGGGCGUAAAGCGCACGUAGGCGGCCCGGUAAGUCGGAUGUGAAAGCCCUCGGCUCAACUGAGGAAGUGCAUUCGAAACUGCUGGACUUGAGUACGGGAGAGGGAUGCGGAAUUCCCGGUGUAGAAGUGAAAUUCGUAGAGAUCGGGAGGAACACCAGUGGCGAAGGCGGCAUCCUGGACCGAUACUGACGAUGAGGUGCGAAAGAGUGGGGAGCAAACAGG
rnacentral:rRNA from 1 species